rnacentral:rRNA from 1 species
GAUGAACGCUGGCGGCGUGCCUAAUACAUGCAAGUCGAGCGAACAGACGAGGAGCUUGCUCCUCUGACGUUAGCGGCGAACGGGUGAGUAACACGUGGAUAACCUACCUAUAAGACUGGGAUAACUUCGGGAAACCGGAGCUAAUACCGGAUAAUAUAUUGAACCGCAUGGUUCAAUAGUGAAAGACGGUUUUGCUGUCACUUAUAGAUGGAUCCGCGCCGCAUUAGCUAGUUGGUAAGGUAACGGCUUACCAAGGCAACGAUGCGUAGCCGACCUGAGAGGGUGAUCGGCCACACUGGAACUGAGACGCGGUCCAGACUCCUACGGGAGGCAGCAGUAGGGAAUCUUCCGCAAUGGGCGAAAGCCUGACGGAGCAACGCCGCGUGAGUGAUGAAGGUCUUCGGAUCGUAAAACUCUGUUAUUAGGGAAGAACAAAUGUGUAAGUAACUAUGCACGUCUUGACGGUACCUAAUCAGAAAGCCACGGCUAACUACGUG